rnacentral:rRNA from 1 species
CGUUCCCAUUCCGAACACGGAAGUCAAGCCCUCUUACGCCGAUGAUACUGCCCUUCUAAAGGGUGGGAAAGUAGGUCGUUGCCAGGC